AGAUUGAACGCUGGCGGCAUGCCUUACACAUGCAAGUCGAACGGCAGCACGGGAGCAAUCCUGGUGGCGAGUGGCGAACGGGUGAGUAAUAUAUCGGAACGUGCCCAGUAAUGGGGGAUAGCCCGGCGAAAGCCGGAUUAAUACCGCAUACGACCUACGGGUGAAAGCGGGGGAUCGCAAGACCUCGCGUUAUUGGAGCGGCCGAUAUCAGAUUAGCUUGUUGCGGGUAAAGCCCACCAAGGCAACGAUCUGUAGCUGGUCUGAGAGGACGACCAGCCACACUGGACUGAGACACGGCCCAGACUCCUACGGGAGGCAGCAGUGGGAAUUUGGACAAGUGGGCGUAAGCCUGAUCCAGCCAUGCCGCGUGUGGGAAAGAAGGCCUUCGGUUGUAAACCACUUUUACGUCGUAAGGAAGAAACGGACUACUACGUAAUUAUUAGAGCUAAUAGUACGUACCGUAG
rnacentral:rRNA from 1 species